rnacentral:rRNA from 1 species
GACGUAGGGCGCGAGCGUUGUCCGGAUUUAUUGGGCGUAAAGAGCUCGUAGGCGGCUUGUUGCGUCGACCGUGAAAACCCGGGGCUCAACCUCGGGCUUGCGGUCGAUACGGGCGGGCUAGAGUUCGGUAGGGGAGACUGGAAUUCCUGGUGUAGCGGUGAAAUGCGCAGAUAUCAGGAGGAACACCGAUGGCGAAGGCAGCUCGCUGGGACGGUACUGACGCUGAGGCGCGAAAGCGUGGGGAGCAAACAGG